CCCUUAGAUGUUCUGGGCCGCACACGCGCUACACUGAAGGAGGCAGCGUGUACUCCUGGAUCGAAAGAUUUGGGUAACCCGCGAAUCUCCUUCGUGCUAGGGAUUGAGGUUUGCAAUUAUCCUUCAUGAACGAGGAAUUCCCAGUAAGUGCAAGUCAUAAGCUUGCGCUGACUACGUCCCUGCCCUUUGUACACACCGCCCGUCGCUACUACCGAUUGAGCAAACCGGUGAAUAGUUCGGACCGUCGGCCUUCUCGGUUUACCGCGUUGGCAGUACGGAAAGUCCAGUGAACCUUNUNGCUUAGNGGAAGGAGAANUCGUANCA
rnacentral:rRNA from 1 species